GGGGCGGUGGCGGAACAGGCAGACGCAGGGGACUUAAAAUCCUCCGGUGGUGACACCUUGUGGGUUCGAUUCCCACCCGCCCCA
rnacentral:tRNA from 1 species